CUCUCAAGUGUUAAAGCUGUAAUAUUCUGUAUGGGAAUAUUCUGAGUGUAUAUACAGUAGCCUAGGAAUAUUCUGGGAGGUUCCAGAGGGGAUAUCCUGGAAUCUUCCCGAAGUUAUUUCAGGAGUGUGUGGAAAUGGUACGACAACAUGAAGUCCCUUGAUGUGAUUCGCAUGCAGAUCAUGUCACUUGCAAUCUGAGAGUGUGCUGGGCAGUAGAGAGACUGAGCAUUCAGUCAGAGCAGACUGUGGUGACUCACUGCCCCACCUGCAGUCAAGUGUGGUAUCGUCUAAUGAGAGAAAUCCUCGAAGAACUCCUGAACCUAUCUGUUGCUGAGCCGAUUGAUGUCUAGAUGUACCCCUGUUUCAAUCAAUGAAAGUUCUAGAGAGACGAACCUGUGUGUUUAAGUUGUGUGAGUGAGUGAAGUUGAACUACAAAAGUGGUGCGUUAGCCGGGAGCCAGAUUUGGUUGAAGGGGUAUCUCGAGCCUGGAGAGCCGAAGUGCCGCCUCGAUCUGGCCAACCAGCGAUCACCAAGUUAGUGAAAAUUCAGUGAAGACGAUUUAGACUUGCAGCGGAGACAGCGACAAGAGAGAUAUUAGAGAAGAUUAGUAAACACUCCAGAGAGUUCCCCGGAGAGAAACACGGAGCCUUUACCUGUGGAAACACAGUGGGAAGAGUGGGGAGAGUUCCAGACCUCACCUCCGAAUUUGCCAAGUGCAAACCCAAGAUCUAGGGGGAUGGCAACACCUGCGGCUUCAAGCUGAGAAAAAUAUUCGAAGUUUGUGAACCUGAAUGAUCUUAAUGCUCACGCUACAGCUUUUGAGGUUGUGAGUGCUGCAAAUCAAGAGCACACUGAUGCCCUGAGACGACGCUGGUUUCCCAUGACACUACUGGGGGCUGCCAUUGAAUGGUACGCCCAGGCAAAUGCAACAGUGCCAUUUGCUUCCUGGAAUGACAUGAAGACUUCUUUCCUAGAAGUCUUCUGCCAUGUGGGAUUCUGUCAGAAGAUAACAGAUGAACUCAAUGCGAUCCAGCUCUUACCAGGGGAGCCACUUCAAGACUAUACUUGGAGGUUCAAGAGCCUUCUGCAGCAGAAAGAACCUACUCUGUCUGCUGAAGAUCAAGUCCGCUACUAUUUGAAUGGCCUGCCAUACAAGUUAAAUUUUCACGUCAAAGUUCAGAGACCAGCAAACCUGAAUGAAGCAAUUACUCAUGCUACAACAUGGGAGUAAGCUCGACUUGGAGCUGCAGCCAGGCAACAGAUUACCGUUCCUGUUGACUCUAGUGGCUAUCUUCCUGGAAUACCACCACAACCAACGUUAAUCCCAGCUACAAGUCCCAGAUUUCAGCCAACUAUGAUACCUGUAGGCUUUGAGAACCAGUUAGCAAAAGUCAAAGAGGACGUGGGGAAACACUUACAAAGAAGAUGGCUGAUUUGCAAGUGAAUCUAGUUCGGGGUAUGGGAGCUCUAGUGAAGCUGAUCAAUGAGAGAACAGGUGUUUGGUGUAUUACAUGUGGCAAUCAGGGCCACUAUCUGAUUAAGUGCCAAGAUAAGCUUCCACGACCUGCAAAGCUAAAGUGUCAGUAUUGCGGGAAGAGUGGACAUACACUGGAGAACUGUUAUUCAAAUCCUGCUCGAGUUUCAACACAGCAGCUCCAAGUUUCCCAAUAGAUCCCUGUGGUGCCAAGUUACAUGGUUCAAUCGCAGAUGUCUCAAGGGGGGGAUACUUACCCAGUGUAUGCGGUUGCAGCUCAAUCGUCUUCCACUGCGAAUCCUCAAUCAACACAGCAGCAGUAGGGUGAAGCCUCUGGUUCAAGAGGUAGAUUCAGACGCCCAAUGGUUUGCUACAAUUGCUGGGAGCCAAGUCACAUCUCCCCAGAUUGUCCAUACCUGAGGAGGGGUGAGGGUUACAAGCCUAUUUGUGGAGUCUGCCAAACACAAGGG
rnacentral:lncRNA from 1 species